CGACGACGUCCAAAAGUACAUUUUUACACUCUUGACCUCGGAUCAGGUAGGGAUACCCGCUGAACUUAAGCAUAUCAAUAAGCGGAGGA
rnacentral:rRNA from 1 species